rnacentral:lncRNA from 1 species
UCUUAUUUCUUAUGUAUUAUGUUGAUAAUUUGGUCAUGAGAGUACAACAAUUUAUAGACUGCAAGUGUUACAUUUAUUCAGUUUUUGUCGUAAAGCUCAAAGGAUAAUGUAGAGUAAUAUUGCAGAAACCAAAUGUUUUAAAAAUGGCAGCUACAGAAAGGCGAAUAGUACUGGUUGGAAAAACUGGCAAUGGCAAAAGUUCAACUUGUAACUCCUUGCUAGAACGCUCUGCGUUUAAAACAGACUGCAGUCCGGCAUCAGUGACACAAGACUGUCAGUUUAGGAAAUGUACUAAUUGCAUAAACGGCAUGUCAUAUACGAUAGUAGACAGAUAUAACUGAUAGGAUAGAAACAAUGUCAGAUAGAGAAAGAAAAACAUAUCGUUAUAAAUGGAUAAAAGAACAUAAAACGGUAAUUAAAGAACAUAUUGAGACAUACGACGGUAGUGAUAAUUUACAGGAAGCCCUGUCUGCAUUAGUACAAAGUCUUGGCAAAGUUCUUAGUCCCAGUGUAUGGCAGGUUGUUCUUGUAGGCGGAACGCUUCUAACAGUAGGUUCGGUCGGAGUUGGGGCAGCUGGCUAUGGGGUAUAUCUGGCGGGACAAGCUGCAGUUGGAAUAAUUGCGUUUUCAGAUGCCACGAGAACAGCGGUGGCAAAUGGUGUUUCUGCCGUUGGAAGCGCAGUAGUUGCCAAAGCAUCGUCGUUAGCUAGUAAGGUGAAAUUCUGGUAGAAAUCAAAGGAAAUUUCUGAUCAUCGAGAACAAUGUUAAAAUACCAUUUUGCGCAUACAUCUCAAUUCUUCCCUACAUGCAUAUCUUUAUUUUACAUCUUGUCUUCUUUAACAAGCUGUAGAUUUUUGUGAUAUAUAAUUACUAGUAUAUCAAACUUAAAUGAUUUACCACAUACAUGCAAGGACUCCAAAAACGACUCCUCUAUGCAUUGGAAAAAUUGUAUCCAAGAAGAUUUUCGUCAUGCAUAAUAUUAUAUGUAUGAAAUAACAUAAUACAUGUGUACAUAAUGAAUAAAAGUAUCAAUGCGGUAA